AUGUACAUGCCUACAACAUAACGUCAAUGCAUCAGAUCCCAUUAGAACUUUGUAGUUAAGAGCGCUCAGGUUAGAGUAGUACUGGGAUGGGUGACUGCGUGGGAAGUCCUAGUGUUGUACAUG
rfam:Picea glauca, whole genome shotgun sequence.